CGGACGGGUGAGUAAUGUCUGGGAAACUGCCCGAUGGAGGGGGAUAACUACUGGAAACGGUAGCUAAUACCGCAUAACGUCGCAAGACCAAAGAGGGGACCUUCGGGCCUCUUGCCAUCGGAUGUGCCCAGAUGGGAUUAGCUAGUAGGUGGGGUAACGACUCACCUAGGCGACGAUCCCUAGCUGGUCUGAGAGGAUGACCAGCCACACUGGAACUGAGACACGGUCCAG
rnacentral:rRNA from 1 species